rnacentral:rRNA from 1 species
CAGUAGCCGCGGGAAUACGGAGGGGGCUAGCGUUGUUCGGAAUUACUGGGCGUAAAGCGCACGUAGGCGGCUUUGUAAGUUAGAGGUGAAAGCCCGGAGCUCAACUCCGGAAUUGCCUUUAAGACUGCAGAGCUAGCAGGUGAGAGAGGUGAGUGGAAUUCCGAGUGUAGAGGUGAAAUUCGUAGAUAUUCGGAAGAACACCAGUGGCGAAGGCGGCUUACUGGCUCAUUCUAGACGCUGAGGUGCGAAAGCGUGGGGAGCAAACAGGAUUAGAUACCCCCGUAGUCCCUGUCUCUUAUAC